GAUGAAGAACGUAGCGAAAUGCGAUACUUGGUGUGAAUUGCAGAAUCCCGUGAACCAUCGAGUCUUUGAACGCAAGUUGCGCCUCAAGCCAUUAGGUUGAGGGCACGUCUGCCUGGGCGUCACAUAUCGUUGCCUGAUGCCAGUUUCCUCGUGAUGGGUGACUGUGCAGGGCGAAUGAUGGCUUCCCGUGAGCAUUGUUGCCUCAUGGUUGGUUGAAAAUUGAGUCCUUGGUAGGGAGCGCCGUGAUAGAUGGUGGUUGAGUGACGAACGAGACCCAAUCAUGUGAGACCCCUACCGAAUUUGGCCUUCAUGACCCACAUGCGUCUUUGGAACGCUCAUGACGAGACCUCAGGUCAGGCGGGGCUACCCGCUGAGUUUAAGCAUAUCAAUAAGCGGAGG
rnacentral:misc_RNA from 1 species